GUGCUCACUUUGGCAGCACAUAUUCUAAAAUUGGAACAAUAGAAAGAAGAUUAGCAUGGCCCCUGCAGAAAGGAUGCAUCCAAAUUUGCAAAGUAACCUAUAUUUUU